AGCCUGUGAUGCAAGGAUAAUAUUUGCCACUCUGGAUGGGGGUAGUUAACCCCUUUGCUGAUUAUUUAUCCACCAAGAUUUACGAGGCU